GCAGCACGAUGUAGCAAUACAUUGGUGGCGACCGGCGCACGGGUGAGUAACGCGUAUGCAACCUACCUAUCAGAGGGGAAUAACCCGGCGAAAGUCGGACUAAUACCGCAUAAAACAGGGGUUCCACAUGGAAAUAUUUGUUAAAGAAUUAUCGCUGAUAGAUGGGCAUGCGUUCCAUUAGAUAGUUGGUGAGGUAACGGCUCACCAAGUCCACGAUGGAUAGGGGUUCUGAGAGGAAGGUCCCCCACACUGGUACUGAGACACGGACCAGACUCCUACGGGAGGCAGCAGUGAGGAAUAUUGGUCAAUGGGCGAGAGCCUGAACCAGCCAAGUCGCGUGAAGGAUGAAGGAUCUAUGGUUUGUAAACUUCUUUUAUAUGGGAAUAAAGUGAGGAACGUGUUCCUUUUUGUAUGUACCAUAUGAAUAAGCAUCGGCUAACUCCGUGCCAGCAGCCGCGGUAAUACGGAGGAUGCGAGCGUUAUCCGGAUUUAUUGGGUUUAAAGGGUGCGUAGGUGGUUAAUUAAGUCAGCGGUGAAAGUUUGUGGCUCAACCAUAAAAUUGCCGUUGAAACUGGUUGACUUGAGUAUAUUUGAGGUAGGCGGAAUGCGUGGUGUAGCGGUGAAAUGCAUAGAUAUCACGCAGAACUCCGAUUGCGAAGGCAGCUUACUAAACUAUAACUGACACUGAAGCACGAAAGCGUGGGGAUCAAACAGGAUUAGAUACCCUGGUAGUCCACGCAGUAAACGAUGAUUACUAGCUGUUUGCGAUACACAGUAAGCGGCACAGCGAAAGCGUUAAGUAAUCCACCUGGGGAGUACGCCGGCAACGGUGAAACUCAAAGGAAUUGACGGGGGCCCGCACAAGCGGAGGAACAUGUGGUUUAAUU
rnacentral:rRNA from 1 species